GUCACAAGCGGCUCGAGUGAGGGGAGGAGCAGUGCGUGCUGUGUAGCUUCAUUGGAGCGCUUGAGCUCUGUCUGAGUAGGUUGCUUUGUGCACUUGUGCAGUGCCUGAGUAGCUUAGUGUUGACGACAGCGCCUUGCGCAGCGUCCUGUAGCUUUUGCUCUGGAAGAGCAGAGCGAAGUGACAAGGAACGGCUGCCUUGAAGGAACUUGUCUGCCUUCUUCUGAUCUCUUGCCAGGUAAAUGCCGUGUUUUGUCCCCCCACAUUGUUUUGCAGCCCGUGUCGUGCAG